rnacentral:rRNA from 1 species
UACGGGAGGCAGCAGUGGGGAAUAUUGCACAAUGGGCGCAAGCCUGAUGCAGCCAUGCCGCGUGUAUGAAGAAGGCCUUCGGAUUGUAAAGUACUUUCAGUCGUGAGGAAGGUGUUAAGGUUAAUAACCUUAGCAAUUGACGUUAGCGACAGAAGAAGCACCGGCUAACUCCGUGCCAGCAGCCGCGGUAAUACGGAGGGUGCGAGCGUUAAUCGGAAUUACUGGGCGUAAAGGGCACGCAGGCGGUUAAUUAAGUUGGAUGUGAAAUCCCCGGGCUUAACCUGGGAAUGGCAUUCAAGACUGGUUAGCUAGAGUCUUGUAGAGGGGGUAGAAUUCCAUGUGUAGCGGUGAAAUGCGUAGAGAUGUGGAGGAAUACCGGGUGGCGAAGGCGGCCCCUGGGACAAAGACUGACGCUCAUGUGCGAAAGCGUGGGGAGCAAACGAGGAUUAGGAUACC